rnacentral:rRNA from 1 species
UGGGGAAUAUUGCACAAUGGGCGCAAGCCUGAUGCAGCAACGCCGCGUGAGGGAUGACGGCCUUCGGGUUGUAAACCUCUUUUAGCAGGGAAGAAGCGAAAGUGACGGUACCUGCAGAAAAAGCGCCGGCUAACUACGUGCCAGCAGCCGCGGUAAUACGUAGGGCGCAAGCGUUAUCCGGAAUUAUUGGGCGUAAAGAGCUCGUAGGCGGUUUGUCGCGUCUGCUGUGAAAUCCCGAGGCUCAACCUCGGGUCUGCAGUGGGUACGGGCAGACUAGAGUGCGGUAGGGGAGAUUGGAAUUCCUGGUGUAGCGGUGGAAUGCGCAGAUAUUAGGAGGAACACCGAUGGUGAAGGCAGAUCUCUGGGCCGUAACUGACGCUGANGAGCGAAAGGGUGGGGAGCAAACAGGCUUAGAUACCCUGGUAGUCCACCCCGUAAACGUUGGGAACUAGUUGUGGGGUCCAUUCCACGGAUUCCGUGACGCANCUAACGCAUUAAGUUCUCCGCCUGGGGAGUACGGCCGCAAGGCUA